rnacentral:lncRNA from 1 species
UAUACAAGAGAGUACAGUCUUUAUAAACAAAGACUCUGAAAGAGGUUGAAAGGGAAUUACAUAAGCAAGUAUGUCAUUUUUGCACCCUUAUUUGACUAGUUGAUAUACAAGAGAGUACAGUCUUUAUAAACAAAGACUCUGAAAGAGGUUGAAAGGGACUUACAUAAGCAAGUAUGUCAUUUUUGCACCCUUAUUUGUUCUGGGAAGAUAAGGCUUCUGCAGUGAGUGGACUAGAUUUGUCCCUGGAAUGACAAUGUGCAGCGAAGUUGGAAGCAAAAUUCAGAUUGAACUUCUCUGUUCUAUUUUUAGAAACCACAACAUUAAAGUGGUGAUGUCCCUAUCACAUGGUACAGUAGAUGUUAGUAGUAAUCUGUGG